GAUGAACGCUAGCUACAGGCUUAACACAUGCAAGUCGAGGGGCAGCAUGGAAGAAGCUUGCUUCUUCUGAUGGCGACCGGCGCACGGGUGCGUAACGCGUAUCAAACCUGCCUCAUACUCGGGGAUAGCCUUGCGAAAGUAAGAUUAAUACCCGAUGUUGUUAUGUUUCCGCAUGGUGAUGUAACCAAAGAUUUAUCGGUAUGAGAUGGUGAUGCGUCCGAUUAGGUAGUAGGCGGGGUAACGGCCCACCUAGCCAUCGAUCGGUAGGGGUUCUGAGAGGAAGGUCCCCCACACUGGAACUGAGACACGGUCCAGACUCCUACGGGAGGCAGCAGUGAGGAAUAUUGGUCAAUGGACGAAAGUCUGAACCAGCCAAGUAGCGUGCAGGAUGACGGCCCUCCGGGUUGUAAACUGCUUUUAGUUGGGAAUAAAAAAGAGGACGUGUCCUCUAUUGUAUGUACCUUCAGAAAAAGGACCGGCUAAUUCCGUGCCAGCAGCCGCGGUAAUACGGAAGGUCCAGGCGUUAUCCGGAUUUAUUGGGUUUAAAGGGAGCGUAGGCGGAUUAUUAAGUCAGUGGUGAAAGACGGUGGCUCAACCAUCGUUAGCCAUUGAAACUGGUAGUCUUGAGUGCAGACAGGGAUGCUGGAACUCGUGGUGUAGCGGUGAAAUGCUUAGAUAUCACGAUGAACUCCGAUCGCGAAGGUAGGUGUCCGGGCUGCAACUGACGCUGAGGCUCGAAAGUGUGGGUAUCAAACAGG
rnacentral:rRNA from 1 species